CUGCAGGACACGGGGGAAAGAGCACAGGUGAGAGGAGGGUCCCAGGAAGGAGCCGAGGGCUCAGGCGAAUGGGAACAACCCAUUUGUCCAUCAUGGGGUCAACACACAGUCACGUCCAACCACCGCCUAAUUUCAUACAGCCUAUGAGCUAGGAGUGGUUGUUAUAUUUAUAUAAUAGUUUGUGAAACGUGAAAAGUUACAUGAUAUUCAAACUCGGUGUCCAUAAAUAACAUUUUACCAGAGCACAACCACGUGCAUUCGCUUAGUGUUGGCCAUGACUGCCGGCCGCCACGUGGUGAAGUCAGCUAUACCCAGAGGUCUGGCUUUUGUCCUCAGCACCUAAAUGAUCUGCUGAGAGGAUCCUGCAUAAGCCUCCUGUCCCACCAUGGGGAGGUCCAUGCAGCAUGGAGCCCAGGCCUCCCUCGAGGGAGACUGGGAGGAUCCCGCCCUGUCAGGCCUUCGGAUGAGAUGGCACCCUUGGCCAACAGCAGCCCUGAGCCAAAGGCACCGACAGGCUCAGAUUUCUGAGCUGAAAUCGUGUUUGCUGUUUGAAGCCCCCAAGUGUUGGGGUGAGUCGUUCAUCAACAAUAGACAACUCCUCACACCACGUAGGCACUUCUGUUUCGUCUGUUUGGUAAUUUCCGUAUUCUCUUUUUUUAACUGGCAUUCUCUCCACAUCCCUAAGUCACACAUGGCAGCCCGCUUCUUUCCUGGUGGCUCUGACUUUCGGUGCUCUUGCCCCUUGGCGGGGCCGCUGUCCUGUGGCUGUGGCCACACCCGGAGUGAGAGGCUGGAGGCCGUGUAGCCUCAUGGCCUUGGACAUGAGCAGGCCCCUGGACGAUCUCUCCUUGCCUCUGCAGCCACCAGCCCGCCCUCAG
rnacentral:lncRNA from 1 species